rnacentral:rRNA from 1 species
GCGGAGGAAAAGAAACCAACAGGGAUUGCCUUAGUAGCGGCGAGUGAAGCGGCAAAAGCUCAAAUUUGAAAUCUGGCACUUUCAGUGUCCGAGUUGUAAUUUGAAGAAGGUAUCUUUGGGUCUGGCUCUUGUCUAUGUUUCUUGGAACAGAACGUCACAGAGGGUGAGAAUCCCGUGCGAUGAGAUGACCCAGACCUAUGUAAAGUUCCUUCGAAGAGUCGAGUUGUUUGGGAAUGCAGCUCUAAGUGGGUGGUAAAUUCCAUCUAAAGCUAAAUAUUGGCGAGAGACCGAUAGCGAACAAGUACAGUGAUGGAAAGAUGAAAAGAACUUUGAAAAGAGAGUGAAAAAGUACGUGAAAUUGUUGAAAGGGAAGGGCUUGAGAUCAGACUUGGUAUUUUGUAUGUUACUCUCUCGGGGGUGGCCUCUACAGUUUACCGGGCCAGCAUCAGUUUGGGCGGUAGGACAAUUGCAAAGAAAUGUGGCACUGCCUCGGUAGUGUGUUAUAGUCUUUGUCGAUACUGCCAGCCUAGACUGAGGACUGCGGCUUCGGCCUAGGAUGUUGGCAUAAUGAUCUUAAGUCGCCCGUCUUG